rnacentral:misc_RNA from 1 species
GAUGAAGAACGCAGUGAAAUGCGAUAAGUAGUGUGAAUUGCAGAAUUCAGUGAAUCAUCGAAUCUUUGAACGCACAUUGCGCCCCUUGGUAUUCCAUGGGGCAUGCCUGUUCGAGCGUCAUUUGUACCUUCAAGCUCUGCUUGGUGUUGGGUGUUUGUCUCGCCUCUGCGUGUAGACUCGCCUCAAAACAAUUGGCAGUCGGCGUAUUGAUUUCGGAGCGCAGUACAUCUCGCGCUUUGCACUCAUAACGACGACGUCCAAAAGUACAUUUUUACACUCUUGACCUCGGAUCAGGUAGGGAUACCCGCUGAACUUAAGCAUAUCAAUAAGCGGAGGA